rnacentral:rRNA from 1 species
CGGACGGGUGCGUAACGCGUGGGAAUCUACCUUGUAGUGGGGGAUAGCCCGGAGAAAUCCGGAUUAAUACCGCAUAAUCUCUACGGAGCAAAGUGGGGGAUCUUCGGACCUCACGCUAUUAGAUGAGCCCGCGUUAGAUUAGCUUGUUGGUGGGGUAAUGGCUCACCAAGGCAACGAUCUAUAGCUGGUUUGAGAGGAUGAUCAGCCACACUGGGACUGAGACACGGCCCAG